rnacentral:rRNA from 1 species
GUGAACGAGCGACGCCGCGUGGAGGAUGAAGGCCUUCGGGUUGUAAACUCCUGUCGAGGGGGAGGAAGGGGAAACCUUGACCGAUCCCUGGAGGAAGCACGGGCUAAGUUCGUGCCAGCAGCCGCGGUAAGACGAACCGUGCGAACGUUAUUCGGAAUCACUGGGCUUAAAGCGCGUGUAGGCGGGCCGGCACGUCGGUACCUGAAAGCCCCCGGCUCAACCGGGGAACUGGGGCCGAUACGACCGGCCUGGAGGGACGUAGGGGGACCUGGAACUUCCGGUGGAGCGGUGAAAUGCGUUGAGAUCGGAAGGAACGCCCGUGGCGAAAGCGAGGUCCUGGACGUCUGCUGACGCUGAGACGCGAAAGCUAGGGUAGCGAACGGGAUUAGAUACCCCGGUAGUCCUAGCCGUAAACGAU